GGUCGUUUGGCUUAGUUGGUCAGAAUGCUGAUCUGGUAAGUCUGAGGCUCAGAGUUCAAAUCUCUCGAUAAUCA